rfam:Arabidopsis thaliana chromosome 3, complete sequence.
AGAUGCGAUCAUACCAGCACUAAUGCACCGGAUCCCAUCAGAACUCCGCAGUUAAGCGUGCUUGGGCGAGAGUAGUACUAGGAUGGGUGACCUCGAAGAAUGUCCUCGUGUUGCAUCCC